rnacentral:rRNA from 1 species
UAGGGAAUCUUCGGCAAUGGACGGAAGUCUGACCGAGCAACGCCGCGUGAGUGAAGAAGGUUUUCGGAUCGUAAAGCUCUGUUGUUAGAGAAGAACGUUGGUAGGAGUGGAAAAUCUACCAAGUGACGGUAACUAACCAGAAAGGGACGGCUAACUACGUGCCAGCAGCCGCGGUAAUACGUAGGUCCCGAGCGUUGUCCGGAUUUAUUGGGCGUAAAGGGAGCGCAGGCGGUUCUUUAAGUCUGAAGUUAAAGGCAGUGGCUUAACCAUUGUACGCUUUGGAAACUGGAGGACUUGAGUGCAGAAGGGGAGAGUGGAAUUCCAUGUGUAGCGGUGAAAUGCGUAGAUAUAUGGAGGAACACCGGUGGCGAAAGCGGCUCUCUGGUCUGUAACUGACGCUGAGGCUCGAAAGCGUGGGGAGCAAACAGG